UCUAAACAGUGUCAGAUGAAUGAAAACUAAAAUAAUUUGUCUCCAGCAGACCUACUCAAAAAGAAUGGCUAAAGGAGUUCUCUUAAGAGGAAGGAAAUAAUAAAAGGGAAUCUUGGACCAUCAUAAAACAAAGAAGAACAAGGACACAGGGUGAGGACCACGUCUCUGCUGAAUCCCAGCCCAGAGGAGCUUCUGGCAGACAGCUGACAUGCGGCAGAGGUAACAUGAUGUGUGCUAUGACAACAGGCCAAAUGCAGGACAGACUGAUGAUCCGCUGUCUUCUCUGAAGCCAGGCUUUAAAAAGACCUGCACAAAGCUGAAGCAAUGCCACUCUUCUCACUGUUUGUUUUUAUUUUGGAAAAACAGUUAUUUUGAAUUAAAAACAAGGAGGCUCUGCCACAACUCCAGGCGAUGGAUUCUGCCCUGGGAUUCCCGCCAGCUCCUGAGAUGUGUGACUCCCAGGUGAGGAGGUGAGACAAAAGCGGACCCCACCACUGGA